rnacentral:rRNA from 1 species
AUUGAACGCUGGCGGCAUGCUUACACAUGCAAGUCGAACGGUAACAGGUCUUCGGAUGCUGACGAGUGGCGAACGGGUGAGUAAUACAUCGGAACGUGCCCGAUCGUGGGGGAUAACGCAGCGAAAGCUGUGCUAAUACCGCAUACGAUCUACGGAUGAAAGCGGGGGAUCGCAAGACCUCGCGCGGACGGAGCGGCCGAUGGCAGAUUAGGUAGUUGGUGGGGUAAAGGCUCACCAAGCCUUCGAUCUGUAGCUGGUCUGAGAGGACGACCAGCCACACUGGGACUGAGACACGGCCCAGACUCCUACGGGAGGCAGCAGUGGGGAAUUUUGGACAAUGGGCGCAAGCCUGAUCCAGCCAUGCCGCGUGCAGGAUGAAGGCCUUCGGGUUGUAAACUGCUUUUGUACGGAACGAAAAGGUCUGCCUUAAUACGGCGGGCCCAUGACGGUACCGUAAGAAUAAGCACCGGCUAACUACGUG